UUUUUUAGAAACCUGGGACGAACCCUGAUUAUAAGCAGCAAAACUGCAGACCCAACAUCGGAGUUUACAAGGUUUUCUACCAGCGAAAUAACACGAGGUUACUAGUACCCAAAUAAGUACUUUCUCGGACAGGACAGGGACGAGGUGCACACUGCUGUACUCAUAUCGGAUCACAAGUGCAACACAAAAGUUACCAUUGCAAACAUGUAGCACUCUUACAUUCCUAGUGAUUCAUUCACUCAGACCGGACACAACUGAAUCAACCGAAUCACACCGUCAAAAUGCAGCCACAUCACGCGCACACACACAGGUUUUCACUCACUGCCACACGAACACGCGCUCUCACACACACAACGAACUGGCCAUUAUUCUAGCUGAAGAUUAACUCCGAUCCAACACAGCACACAAGACACAGCAGAUGGAUCACACACGGGCAUGCCUGGGCGCCAUCUAAAGACAGCAAACCAGUAAGUAACGAUAGCCCCCUCCUCCUCUAAACACAUAGGAUUUAGAUGGAGAGAGGGAGACCUGGAAGAAAGGCUUAGCCUUCCCUUGCCGAUAAGACUUGCCUUCUUUCUUCUGCACUGCCGAAGCAUCCCUGCUCACAUGCCGGCCCCCGGCGAUGCUCCCGGCGGCCAGCAUGGCAAGCAUGCUUCUUCACUGCUUGCACUGACACGGUCACACCGCUGACAGUGUGACCGGUGCUUCACUCGCAACACCUUCUUCUUCGCCUCUCUUCUUCCUCUUCCUCGACAUGGUAUGCCAGGACCUCUGCUUGAUCAGUUAGAUGAGUUAGAACACUGAUCUGGCCAUGGCCAACCUCCCUUCUUUUUAUAAGCAUGCUCACGGUAACUGGAUCGCUGAAGCCUCUGCGAGCGAUUGGCCUGUGGGGUUUGUUAAUUGCCAGCCGCGGAUUCUUUGGCUGCGUUGUGGAUUCUCGCAUAUCUUCACCCACUUAUCUUUGAGCCACUGGAUUCUCGUGCUUUUGAUACUUUUUAUGGGUGGCCAUUGAGGCGUUAACACUUUGUUAAGCCUAACCUAGGGCGAUAGUCUCCAAUGACUGGCCUUUUAUGGUUAGUGCCAGAUCCUCUGAGGUACAACUACAAUCAGUGGACACCUGUCGAUGAUUAACACCGACAGUUUCAGAGAAAUACUUAUGAGUGUCAAGGAAUCUCAUACUACCCUCUACUCCAAUU
rnacentral:lncRNA from 1 species